rnacentral:lncRNA from 1 species
CUUGGAGAAAGGGAAAACAAAGGGACACAUUAAAUCAAUCAAAAUGCUGCCUUAAAACUUUCACAGCUUCCUUGCACUUAGCAAUUCUGGGGCUUCAGCCACCAAACAGGUUUUAUUUAAAAAACGAGUGUCCUCAAUUUCCUGCAGUUUGCGUUCCAGGCCCAUCCUCGCUGCCUGCCUUCCCUGCGCACAAGCCGAAGCCCAGGCGAGGGGCAGCAAGCGCGCACAUUCUCUCAGUCGUUCUCUACCACUUCCGUACCCAAGACGUAGGGCGAAAUCUGGUGUCCAGGUCAACCCCUGAAACGGCAAGACGAUCAUUCUCAGACUAAGCUUCCGGAUGCUAGGACCACCAAGAACCCCGAGGCAGAGCCCCCUGCCUCCAAGGCUGACACUCGGGCUGCAGAGACGGAGGGAUACAUUCCAAAGGAAGAGAAAAUGGACUAGGCGCCAAAAGCCUGCAGGGCUGCAGGGCUCCCCAGAGGUGCAAGUUGUCAAGAGUGAGGGCAAAGCAAACCUGAGCUCGAGCAGAGGCAGCUUCCAGAAGACGGGACGUCAAGCCCCAAGGAAACGCACAGGGGAGAAGCGCUGAGACUCAAGAAGGACCCCGGACGGUGCACGAGGGGUGCGAGCACUGGCUCUUAAAUGCCCCCCCCACCCUUCUCCAAAGAAAUGAGGAAAAUCAGACAACGUGCUGAGGUUCUCACGGUGCUCAACGCAUUGUUUUUUUUAGGUUAAAACGUCCUCCUUUUAGAUGAAAUGAUCAAGACAGGAGAUGGUUGGGACUGGUUUUUAAUGCCCUUGCUUGGCAAAUGGAAAAGUCGGCGACUCCAUGUGUCACUGCCCAAGACUGGCCUUAGGUCUCGGCCAUGCAAGCUGAGUCCUUGGGAGCCAUCAGACGACACCAGGCGCUGGGCGAAGGGGCCGGAGUGGAGUGGCAGGACUGGCAGAGAUGGGCCGGCGAAACGAUGCCGGGGUCAAGGCUCCAUCUCAGAGGGACGAACUUUACCCUAUGGCUGUGGGAACCCACAGCCCCCCUUUGAAAAAAACUCUGCGAUGAAAUAACCUUAACCAUAUUUUUUAAAACUCUUGGCAGCAGUUUUAAAAAAUCGAUGAUUAGAGGCAUAUAACCCACGCAGGAGGCUACUGCAGUGCAGUCUCAGGGCCCGAGACGAGCCGCGUGGAGGUCAGGAAGACACCUCCCAGGGCCCAACCUGGCUGCGAGCAGCGAGGGCGAAGGUCAGGGAGGUGCUGGGCUUCCCGCUCGGGCCAGAGAGCGGGCCGGGGAGGCGGGUCACUGCGAUGCCGGAAAAACUCCCAGUACAGGAGAGAACAAAGAGAAUCCAGCAGGAAGGGACUGGUUACUGAGUAGCAGGAUUAAGCAAGGAGUUCUGUUUAAAAAAAAACAAAGACUGUCCCUGGCCAGAAAGGAGCAGAUGGGAAAAAGGAGAAGGUUCUGGAGGAGUGGGAAAGGCAGACCGGGCGCCCGCCAGGCACAGGAAGAUGAAACACUUGUGGUUGAACGGAAUACAUAACAUAUGUAGCCAUAUAAAUGUACGUAUUCAUUGUCAAAUUGGCCGCUGAUGCGGGGGAAAGAGCUUGAAAAGCCUUCACGUAGAGGUUACAAGUCUACACAAAACUUCACCAAAUACAAAACAAGAGAAAAACAAAACCCAUCUUUCUCUCUCUUUCAAAGAGCCUCCCUAUAAAACAAACACGUCAGAUGCUGGGUAAAACAUUUUACUGAAUCAACGUGGUUUAGAGCAGCACCAUCCAGUUCAAAGCUGGCCAUGCCCAAGGCAUGCAGAAAGUUCCCAGGCCGGAGAUCAAACCCUCACCACAGCAGUGACCCAAGCCGCUGCAGUGACCAUGCCAGAUCCUUAACCCGCUGCACAACCAGGGAACUCCAGAGGCUAAUGUAACUAGGGAACUAAAUUUUAAAAGGUUAUUUAAGUGGGAGUUCCUGUCGUGGUGCAGUGGUUAACGAAUCCAACUAGGAACCAUGAGGUUGUGGGUUCGAUCCCUGGCCUUGCUCCGUGGGUUAAGGAUCCAGCGUUGCUGUGAGCUGUGGUGUAGGUUGCAGACGCAGCUCGAAUUCUGCGUUGCUGUGGCUCUGGCGUAGGUCAGCAGCUACAGCUCCGAUUUGACCCCUAGCUUGGGAACCUCCAUAUGCCACGAGAGCGGCCCAAGAAAUGGCAAAAAGACCAAAAUAAAUAAAUAAAUAAAUAAAUGGUUAUUUAAGUUAAAUUUAAGCAGCCCCAUGUGGCUAGCAGGCUGCUGUAUUGGACAGCGUAGGUCUAUGGUAUUUUUUUCUCUAGUAAUCUUGAUGCAUAAAUUUUUUUAGGGCCGCACCCGAGGCAUAUGGAGGUUUCCAGGCUAGGGGUCCAAUCGGAGCUACAGCUGUCGGCCCACACCACAGCCACAGCAACGCCAGAUCCAAGCCGUGUCUGUGAGCUACACAGCAGCUCAGGGCAACAGCUCAUGGCUGGCUCAUGGCCGGAUCCCUAACCCACUGAGCGAGGCCAGGGAUCAAACCCGCAACCUCAUGGUUCCUGGUCGGAUGGUUUCCGCUGCGCCACAACGGGAACUCGGAGAAUCCAAAAUUUGAUCAGAUUUUCAAACCUUCCCUUUUCUUGCGAGGAUAAGCUGAACCACGUAAUUCACGUCGGAUACAUGGCCAUCAUUCAGCAAAUGUUAGAGCAGUCAACUCCCCUGCCCCCGCCCCCCGCCGCACCCCAUGCCUGCUGUGAACAGUUAUAAUUUGAGGACAGAACUCCUCCCACAGAAAGGAGGGUCAGGAGCGCCAUCGCUCCAAGCGUCUGUCUGUGUCACGGUGUUUACGUGGUUUAAUCCAGAAAUAACUCAGGGAUCCAAGGAGCUUCCUGAUGCCGUUAGGCUGAAACCGAGUACAUCAGGUCACCAUCUCGAGGCCGCCAAAGGCACUGAGGGGGUUUUCUGUAAGAUCCGUGGGUACAGGUGCGAAUGCGGCCCGAGCACUACCCAUUCCUGGGACUCUGAAAGGGGUCCCAGAAUAGGGGGUGGCCUCUCAUGGAGGGUAUUUGUUUUGCAAGUAACCAAAGGGAAUGGGGGCGUCAGUGAGCUUUUUAAAUAGAAACCAAGAAUUAAAACUGAGUCCCUCUGUGCACCAAAAUGUCCUUGCUUAAAUUGCAAGGCGUAAGUAAAAUAAAUUGGCUAUAAAAGGGAGGAUUAUAUCAACUGUAAAAUUCGACCCGGGGACUAGGAAAAGUGACUGUGAUUAAAAGGUGUGUGUGGUGGGGGUGGCUUGAUCCUUGUUUUCUCAUGUGUCCUUUGAAGGUGAAAACGAACCAAUUUUCUCUGGCCUUCAAGCUGUCAAAGAGGUUGAAAAAAAAAACAAAACCUGUCUGAAAAAUAAACAAAUGGGACCUGCAAUCUCCCUUCAGGAGAUGGGGAGAAAAUACUCCAUCUAAAGCCCUUAAGUAUUUCCUGGUGACUUUACCUCAAUUAGUAACUAUCCACUCGCUAUGAGACUGGGGGUAGGGGUGACAGGUGGGUGCCAGAGGUGUUCCCGAUCACCAGCUAGGUGAGAAGAAAGAAGAAAACGUGAGACGCUAAGAGAAUUCAGUGUUGACUGUGCAAGACAAUUUUACGGCCAGAAAACCCACUAGCAUGUGCUAAGUGGAGGGGCCUCCAAGGUGGAAGAGGCUGGUGGGGCUGAGGCCAGAAAGGACCACGAGGAGGCCGGAGCCCGUCCUGCUUUGUGGGAGCCAGGAGCGGGCGGGGGGGCGGGGAGUGGGGUGGGCAGGAGGGGGUGUGGGCUCCGGGCGGGCGUGAGGAUGACGUCAGCUUUGAGGAAACCUGUUUGAACAUGGUAUGGGGCAGCAGGGGAGGGAGGCCAGGCUCGAAAUGGGAACAAAGGGAACAGAGGGAAAGAUAAACCUGAAAGCCUCUCAAAGAACUGCAGAGACCUGGGGGUGGCGGGUAACACUGCAGAGCAGAGAGCUGAGCAGGAAGUCACUCUGGCCACAAGCUCCACUGCCCAGGGCACCAGAGCGGGGAUGGGAAGAGGUUUUCGACUGUUAAGGUGGUACACUCGGCAAGUGCAGAGAUGGAGUGGGGUGAGAAGGGAAGGUCUCGGGACGAGGGGACCAGGGUACGGGGAGCAAUCAGGCUCAUGAGUGCAGGUGGGCUCGAACCCACCCUGGGGCGGGGGGUGGGGGCCGAGAUUCAGAGACAAGAGGGUCCAGAAGAGUGCCCAUUCUGAGCCGCAGACACAGGAACAAAGGCUGGCGGGCACGAGGUCCCCAGGAAGGGGGAGGACCCGGUAUCCUAAUAGAUGGGAAAACAUGAGCAACAAGGGGGCAUAAAGCGCUUCUGAGUCCGAAAGAUGCAAGAAUCAGGAAAACACCUGGGGGAGCUGAAGGCAGCUCACAGUGGAAUGGCCUUAACCUUGAGCACACAGUAGGCACUUAACUAUUCUACCGAUUAGCAAUCUCAAAACAGGCAACAGGUCGUA